rnacentral:rRNA from 1 species
GAUGAACGCUGGCGGCGUGCCUAAUACAUGCAAGUCGAGCGAACAGACGAGGAGCUUGCUCCUCUGACGUUAUCGGCGGACGGGUGAGUAACACGUGGAUAACCUACCUAUAAGACUGGGAUAACUUCGGGAAACCGGAGCUAAUACCGGAUAAUAUAUUGAACCGCAUGGUUCAAUAGUGAAAGACGGUUUUGCUGUCACUUAUAGAUGGAUCCGCGCCGCAUUAGCUAGUUGGUAAGGUAACGGCUUACCAAGGCAACGAUGCGUAGCCGACCUGAGAGGGUGGACGGACACACUGGAGCUGAGACACGGUCCAGACUCCGACGGGAGGAAGCGGUAGGGAAUCUUCCGCAAUGGGCGAAAGCCUGACGGAGCAACGCCGCGUGAGUGAUGAAGGUCUUCGGAUCGUAAAACUCUGUUAUUAGGGAAGAACAAAUGUGUAAGUAACUAUGCUCGUCUUGACGGUACCUAAUCAGAAAGCCACGGCUAACUACGUG